rnacentral:rRNA from 1 species
UGGGGAAUAUUGGACAAUGGGGGCAACCCUGAUCCAGCCAUGCCGCGUGCGGGAAGAAGGCCUUCGGGUUGUAAACCGCUUUUAUUCGGAAAGAAGGAGUGCGGGUUAAUACCUCGCAUGACGGACGGUACCGGAUGAAUAAGCACCGGCUAACUACGUGCCAGCAGCCGCGGUAAUACGUAGGGUGCGAGCGUUAAACGGAAUUACUGGGCGUAAAGCGUGCGCAGGCGGUUGGCAAAGUCAGCUGUGAAAGCCCCGGGCUUAACCUGGGAAUGGCGGUUGAAACUAGUCGACUCGAAUCCGGCAGAGGGGGGUGGAAUUCCACGUGUAGCAGUGAAAUGCGUAGAGAUGUGGAGGAACACCGAUGGCGAAGGCAGCCCCCUGGGCUGAGAUUGACGCUCAGGCACGAAAGCGUGGGGAGCAAAC